UACGGAGGGCGCGAGCGUUAAUCGGAACUACUGGGCGUAAAGCGCGCGUAGGCUGUUGUGUAAGUUGGGGGUGAAAUCCCACGGCUCAACCGUGGAACAGCCCUUGAUACUGCGCGACUUGAAUCCGGGAGAGGGUGGCGGAAUUCCAGGUGUAGGAGUGAAAUCCGUAGACAUCUGGAGGAACAUCAGUGGCGAAGGCGGCCACCUGGACCGGUAUUGACGCUGAGGCGCGAAAGCGUGGGGAGCAAACAGG
rnacentral:rRNA from 1 species